CCUACGGGUGGCAGCAGUGAGGAAUAUUGGUCAAUGGACGUGAGUCUGAACCAGCCAAGUAGCGUGCAGGAUGACUGCCCUAUGGGUUGUAAACUGCUUUUAUAAAGGGAUAAAACGAGGCACGUGUGCCUUUUUGCAUGUACUUUAUGAAUAAGGAUCGGCUAACUCCGUGCCAGCAGCCGCGGUAAUACGGAGGAUCCGAGCGUUAUCCGGUUUUAUUGGGUUUAAAGGGAGCGUAGAUGGGUUGUUAAGUCAGUUGGGAAAGAUUGGGGCUCAACCGUAACAUUGCAGUUGAUACUGGCAGGCUUGAGUGCAGGUGAGGUAGGCGGAAUUCGUGGUGUAGCGGUGAAAUGCUUAGAUAUCACGAAGAACCCCGAUUGCGAAGGCAGCUUACGAAACUGUGACUGACAUUGAUGCUCGAAAGUGUGGGUAUCAAACAGGAUUAGAUACCCCGGUAGUC
rnacentral:rRNA from 1 species